GAGUUUGAUCAUGGCUCAGGAUGAACGCUAGCUACAGGCUUAACACAUGCAAGUCGAGGGGCAGCAUGAACUUAGCUUGCUAAGUUUGAUGGCGACCGGCGCACGGGUGAGUAACACGUAUCCAACCUGCCGAUGACUCGGGGAUAGCCUUUCGAAAGAAAGAUUAAUACCCGAUGGCAUAGUUCUUCCGCAUGGUAGGACUAUUAAAGAAUUUCGGUCAUCGAUGGGGAUGCGUUCCAUUAGCUUGUUGGCGGGGUAACGGCCCACCAAGGCAUCGAUGGAUAGGGGUUCUGAGAGGAAGGUCCCCCACAUUGGAACUGAGACACGGUCCAAACUCCUACGGGAGGCAGCAGUGAGGAAUAUUGGUCAAUGGGCGCUAGCCUGAACCAGCCAAGUAGCGUGAAGGAUGACUGCCCUAUGGGUUGUAAACUUCUUUUAUAUGGGAAUAAAGUGCAGUAUGUAUACUGCUUUGCAUGUACCUUAUGAAUAAGGAUCGGCUAACUCCGUGCCAGCAGCCGCGGUAAUACGGAGGAUCCGAGCGUUAUCCGGAUUUAUUGGGUUUAAAGGGAGCGUAGGCGGGUUGUUAAGUCAGUUGUGAAAGUUUGCGGCUCAACCGUAAAAUUGCAGUUGAUACUGGCAUCCUUGAGUACAGUAGAGGUAGGCGGAAUUCGUGGUGUAGCGGUGAAAUGCUUAGAUAUCACGAAGAACUCCGAUUGCGAAGGCAGCCUGCUGGACUGUAACUGACGCUGAUGCUCGAAAGUGUGGGUAUCAAACAGGAUUAGAUACCCUGGUAGUCCACACAGUAAACGAUGAAUACUCGCUGUUUGCGAUAUACAGUAAGCGGCCAAGCGAAAGCGUUAAGUAUUCCACCUGGGGAGUACGCCGGCAACGGUGAAACUCAAAGGAAUUGACGG
rnacentral:rRNA from 1 species